rnacentral:rRNA from 1 species
CAGUCGCCACGGUAAUACGAAGGGUGCAAGCGUUACUCGGAAUUACUGGGCGUAAAGCGUGCGUAGGUGGUGGUUAAGUCCGUUGUGAAAGCCCUGGGCUCAACCUGGGAAUUGCAGUGGAUACUGGGUCACUAGAGUGUGGUAGAGGAUAGUGGAAUUUCCGGUGUAGCAGUGAAAUGCGUAGAGAUCGGGAGGAACAUCAGUGGCGAAGGCGGCCAUCUGGGACAACACUGACGCUGAGGCACGAAAGCGUGGGGAGCAAACAGGAUUAGAUACCCCAGUAGUCCCUGUCUCUUAUACA